AUGGUGAUAGGUUACUGAGCGCCGGAGCUAGCUUCGUCUGGCUAACAAUAUCGAGAGAUGCAGAACUGCAUUUACCCAAGCAUGAUUGAAGGCCCAGACUCACAAGCACCAGAAGAAGCCUUUUGAGCGGAGCUGGGAGAGUGAAGAAGAAGGCAUAAAGGAUGCGUCACUCCCAUCCAGAAACUCUUUGGGAAAAUGCGAGACAAGUUAACUGAAACCUCAUCCAGAGGUUGAUCUAAAAAAUAAUACGAACCCGUCACCAGAGUUUCCGGUCAGCUUGGAGAGAGGAUGACCGCCUCGACCCAGGUCGUCUUCCCCGGAGUCCACAACCAGGGAUCGACCAAUCACGUCCCACACCUACAAGACAAAAGCUAUUUUUUUUUCAUCCUGGGACAAACUGCAGGAACAAGAGAUUACCUCCGUACAAGACAUCACUGCAUGGAUUUAAGGUCGUCAAUGAGCCGGCGCUCCCACCUGAGGCAGUCCUGUGUGAGGUCCCCCAGCGUGUGGACGUGCAGACCGUGGGGCCCGGGCUUCAGGCCGUCGAUGGUCCCGUCGAUCAGGCAGUCUUCUUCGGACAGCUGCAAGAAACGCACCACGCCCUGAAUCGAGCCAGCGCCAGACAGCAUGGCCACGGCUGCACCCAGAUCUGUUAAACACACACAUAUCGAA